CUUAAUCAAUUGUAUCAGUUGGAUUUAUUAUCUGACUAGCAGCUAGCUUGUAUGUUUUGGGUAAGAAGUAUACAUAAAAGUGCAUAAUUUUGUGGUAAGGCUAUUUGAUUCAAAUUUACUUCAAAACCACUUACAGAACAGGGGUCUUUUUCUUCUUUCAAUCCUUAAGCGAAUCAACCGUUUGCUAAAAUUACUCUUAUCCUAAAAGUCCUCCACAAAAGGAACAACAAAAGAUGUCAUAGAUCAUAAUACGCAAACUCAAAUGCCUGUUGAACCGAACCCGCCUUCACCUCUCAGAGUCGCAUCCAAAUCCUCAACUUCCACAACAUCAGGGGUCAUGAUUUUCUCGAUAAUCAACUGGGCAAUCCGAUCACCCACUUUGACCUCAAAAUCCACAUCCGAAUGAUUAAACAAUAUAACCCCAACUGGACCCCUGUAAUCAGCAUCUAUCACACCUGCACCCACAUCAAUGGAAUGCUUCCAUGCUAGUCCAGAUCUCGGCGCUGCAUCGAAUAACAAAAAGAAAUCAUUUCCAGGAAGCAAAAUCCACUCAUCUAACAGAGAAAAAGGGUGAGGCUUUAAGUGAGACGUACCAAUACGAGCAUAUGUUCCUUCAGGUAUGACAAUGCUCAGAUCAGUUGGGAUAAGAGCCUUUCCUCUAGCAGGGACCUUAGUCUCUGUUGCACUGGAGAGAUCAUAGCCCGCAGAUAGAGGAGAAGCUCUGGAGGGCAAAAUAGCUUUUUCAGAGAGCUUUUUAACCCCAAAUAGAGUGAUUGGAGUUUCAGAGUCCUGUUGAAGCUUGGGAAUCUUGGGAACCGGCUCUUUGAUUUCAGGACUGUUGUUUUGAACUUCUGCUUGAGCCAUUCUGGAGCGUCGAACAAUUGGAAGGCAGCGAGAUGCGAAUAUGGGAAGAAAGGACUUAGAGGGUGUGAGAAGUGCUGGAUUUGAGGGGUUAAAUAAAGAAGGAACCGCCCAAGAUUUUCCAAAUAAUGGCGCGAAGGGUUCCCUCCAUAGCAUUUUGGGACAUCGUACAUUCAUAUUCAAUAAGAAGAUUACGGAGGUAGUGAAGAUAGGAAGCAUGUAUAACUUUUGGUCUGCUCUAUGGAGCUUGUUAACGCAAACCUAGGGAUACCGUUUUAAUCUACCCACCCACUUUUUUCAUUUAUCUCCCGCCAAAAAAACUCUCCC
rnacentral:misc_RNA from 1 species